GAUGAAGAACGCAGCGAAAUGCGAUACUUGGUGUGAAUUGCAGAAUCCCGUGAACCAUCGAGUCUUUGAACGCAAGUUGCGCCCGAAGCCAUUAGGCCGAGGGCACGCCUGCCUGGGCGUCACACGUCGUUGCCCCCCCAUCUACUCCUUCGGGAUUGCGGGGGGCGGAUGAUGGCCUCCCGUGCGCCUCGCCGCGCGGUUGGCAUAAAUGCCAAGUCCUCGGCGACGCACGCCACGACAAUCGGUGGUUGCGAAACCUCGGUUGCCCGUCGUGUGCGGUCGUCGCGCAUCGAGGGCUCGAAAAAAUUGCCGGGUUCCGGCUCGGCUUUCAACGCGACCCCAGGUCAAGCGGGAUUACCCGCUGAAUUUAAGCAUAUCAAUAAGCGGAGGA
rnacentral:misc_RNA from 1 species